rnacentral:rRNA from 1 species
GCGUUGUUCGGAAUUAUUGGGCGUAAAGCGCGUGUGGGCGGCUAGAUAAGUCUGAUGUGAAAGCCCGGGGCUUAACCCCGGAAGUGCAUUGGAUACUAUCUAGCUAGAGGGUCGGAGAGGGAAGCGGAAUUCUUGGUGUAGGGGUGAAAUCCGUAGAUAUCAAGAGGAACACCGAUGGCGAAGGCAGCUUCCUGGCCGACUUCUGACGCUGAGACACGAAAGCGUGGGUAGCAAACAGGAUUAGAUACCCUGGUAGUCCACGCCCUAAACGAUGGAUACUAGAUGUUGGCGAUAUACGGUCAGCGUCUAAGCGAAAGCGUUAAGUAUUCCACCUGGGGAGUACGCCCGCAAGGGUGAAACUCAAAGGAAUUGACG